rnacentral:rRNA from 1 species
AUACGGCGGGUCCGAGCGUUAAUCGGAAUUACUGGGCGUAAAGCGCGCGUAGGUGGUUCGGUCAGUCAGAUGUGAAAGCCCCGGGCUCAACCUGGGAACUGCACCUGAUACUGCUGAGCUAGAGUACGGCAGAGGGCAGUGGAAUUUCCGGUGUAGCGGUGAAAUGCGUAGAGAUCGGAAGGAACACCAGUGGCGAAGGCGACUGCCUGGACUGAUACUGACACUGAGGUGCGAAAGCGUGGGUAGCAAACAGGAUUAGAUACCCUGGUAGUCCACGCCGUAAACGAUGUCAACUAGCCGUUGGGGGACUUGAUCCUUUAGUGGCGAAGCUAACGCGAUAAGUUGACCGCCUGGGGAGUACGGCCGCAAGGUUAAAACUCAAAUGAAUUGACGGGG